UGGGGAAUCUUGCACAAUGGGCGAAAGCCUGAUGCAGCGACGCCGCGUGCGGGAUGAAGGCCUUCGGGUUGUAAACCGCUUUCAGCAGGGACGAGGCCGCAAGGUGACGGUACCUGCAGAAGAAGCCCCGGCUAACUACGUGCCAGCAGCCGCGGUAAUACGUAGGGGGCAAGCGUUAUCCGGAUUCAUUGGGCGUAAAGCGCGCGUAGGCGGUUUGUUAGGUCAGGAGUUAAAUCUGGGGGCUCAACCCCUAUCCGCUCCUGAUACCGGCAGGCUUGAGUCUGGUAGGGGAAGGCGGAAUUCCAAGUGUAGCGGUGAAAUGCGCAGAUAUUUGGAAGAACACCGGUGGCGAAGGCGGCCUUCUGGGCCAAGACUGACGCUGAGGCGCGAAAGCUAGGGGAGCGAACAGG
rnacentral:rRNA from 1 species